rnacentral:rRNA from 1 species
UACGUAGGGGGCUAGCGUUGUCCGGAUUUAUUGGGCGUAAAGAGCGUGUAGGCGGCCAGGUAGGUCUGCUGUGAAAACUCGAGGCUCAACCUCGAGACGUCGGCGGAAACCAUCUGGCUAGAGUCCGGAAGAGGAGGGUGGAAUUCCUGGUGUAGCGGUGAAAUGCGCAGAUAUCAGGAAGAACACCCGUGGCGAAGGCGACUCUCUGGGACGGUACUGACGCUGAGACGCGAAAGCGUGGGGAGCGAACAGG